rnacentral:rRNA from 1 species
UACGGGGGGGGCAAGCGUUGUUCGGAAUUACUGGGCGUAAAGGGCGCGUAGGCGGCCUUCUAAGUCGAACGUGAAAUCCCCGGGCUCAACCCGGGAACUGCGUCCGAUACUGGAAGGCUUGAAUCCGGGAGAGGGAUGUGGAAUUCCAGGUGUAGCGGUGAAAUGCGUAGAUAUCUGGAGGAACGCCGGUGGCGAAGGCGACAUCCUGGACCGGUAUUGACGCUGAGGCGCGAAAGCCAGGGGAGCAAACGGG